CAGCCGCCGCGGUAAUACGAGGGGUGCAAGCGUUAUUCGGAUUGAUUGGGUGUAAAGGGCGUGCAGACGGCUUAUUAAGUCACUUGUUAAAUUCUUCGGCCUAACUGAAGGUCUGCAAGUGAUACUGAUGAGCUAGAGGGUGGAAGAGAGAAGUGGAAUUCUCGGAGUAGCGGUAAAAUGCGUAGAUCUCGAGAGGAACACCAAUGGCGAAGGCAGCUUCUUGGUCCAUUCCUGACGUUCAUACACGAAAGCGUGGGGAGCAAACAGGAUUAGAUACCCCAGUAGUCCCUGUCUCUUAUAC
rnacentral:rRNA from 1 species